rnacentral:misc_RNA from 1 species
AAAUUGCAAUAGAAUUUAUCGGUCUUUUAACUACAUACUCUUUAUGCAUAUGUUCACACAAAUUAAUGCACGUGUGCUUAUAAGAUGAUGUAAAUGUUGCUGAAGUUGUUGCCCAAGUUGCUGAUUCUCAUCUGAACUAUAGAACUAUCCUUGCUGAUAAUAUGGCCCUUUCAGCUAAAAAGUGGAGUUGCCAGGUUCUUCAGAUUUUAAGAGAAGUAAGCUAAA